rnacentral:lncRNA from 1 species
AUGCUCGUUGCUCCUUGUAAGACAGGCAGAUAUAAUUGUUGUAACCGAUGCUCCGAUAAAUCCCUCCCAGGUCUUCUUUGGGGAUAAUUUGAUUAAUGGAGUUUUUCCAAAGAAGAAGCCAAAGAUGUAGGCAGCAAUAUCGUUGAUAACGAUCAGUGAUGCGGGAAGAAGAAACCUAAAAUCCCUUCGAAAAUAUUGGCGACUGUGAAAGAGGACUGCGUGAACACCACAAUAAGGAUCAUAUGUGUCCAUGCAUACUGGCCAAACUGAUACUUAUACAUUUUCUUCUUUAACGAGAGAAUGAACCAUACAAA